AAGGCCCCUUUGAUCGAUCGAUCGAUUGAAAAUACAUCUUUUGAAAUUCCGAGAAUUGCUUUGGCCGUUGGGUUUUCGACCCUAAAAUCAUUUAUUUUUUAUUUCCUUUUUCUCUCUCCUCCCUUCUUUCUUAUUUCUUUCUCUCUACCUCUUCAUCUCCUCUCUGUCUCAGCUUACUCUCUCUCCCCGAUUCCAAAACCCUCCCUCUCCAUCUCAAUCUCUAACUCUCUCUCACUCUCAACCUCUUCACUCCGGCGACCCAAGACCAUCCCCACCCAACCACCUCCACUUUCUCUUCCUCGUGCAGGCGAAGCUUCUAGCGAACCCAACCAAGUCGCCGCCAUUUACAAUAGUUUCUGGCGAACCUUUUGGCCAAAGGCCAAGCUUGUUCGUCCUCUUUAGCCUAAAUCUCUCUCGGCUUCUCUCAUCUUCAUCGUCUUCGGUCAAUCUAGGCCAAGGAAAGAUCAAUUUAUCACUUCGGUGAACUCUGUAUUUUCUGGCGAACUCUGGCGAGCCUCAGAUCAUCCCUUUCGGCUACGGUGACGCCAGAAAUUUUUGUUUCGUCUCCAAUUUCCCUAUUUCCACCUUCACUCUUUUUCUCAGCACCGGGUGCAGUGUAGGCAAAAGACUCUUGUUGGAAAAAGAGUUCCCAGACCUCCUCAACCUCCUCCAUCUCUAGAGGUGGACUCAUCUUCAUCUUCUAUUGAGGCUACCCCAUCUGCAUUAGUCCAUUCAGAGCCAUCUCUUAUGGAGGCACAGGGUCCUAUCGUCCGAGCAGUGCCUUCUCUCUCUUACUCUGGCAAGAAACUUGAGUUAGAAUUUAGAUUCGACCACGAUCCAUUUUCUGAGUUGGAGCAGACCAAGUGGUUUUAUGAUGAGCUCACUCGUUGGGGCAUCGAUGCUAUCAUGACAUUGGCAAACACUAUAGUCUAUCCCUGGUUGGUUGCAUUGUUCUUCCAGCACCUCCGAUUGGAUGAGGAUGAUCGACUAUUGAUGCAUACGACUAUAGAUGGUUAGGAUAUCGACAUUUCUAUCCCUGCCAUAUUUACUGCUUGCCGAUGUCCCCACCUCUCUUCAUUGGUCGCUGGCUCUGAGGAUCCAUUAUAUCCCAGUGCUCCACCUUAUCCCUCUGAGAUGACCAUGGUUGCGACGCUAUCUCCACAGGCAGCCUUUGAAGGCAAUACAUUUGGAGAUCGAGUUGAUAUUGAUCCCCAAUACUGGUUCUUUGAUUCUGUGUUGCACCUUAAUGCCUUUCCUUCAGGCCAUAGCACAUAGAGGCGAGAGAGGAUUCUCUAGGCUUUAAAUUUUUGAGCCAGGGUUGCUGGAUUUCUGUUCUUGCUCUUAUCUGGGAGAUCAUUCAUAAGUUCUGGAAAAAUCUGAUCUUCACACAUAAUUCUAGAACUGAUGCUUGGCCUUUACUAUAUGGCCACCUGAUUACAUAGUUGUUGAUUUACUAGGGCUACCACUUUAACCCGGAUAAGACUAAUGUAGAGAGAGCUAAGAGGGCAUAUAACAUUGCCAAAUAGACAAAGACUUAUAAUUCUUGCCUCAAGAAUAGGAAGAAAAAAGACAACAAAAGGAAGUGAGAUCAGAAGAGAACCGAAGAGGAUGCAGCUGCAGAGGAGGCAGCCGAUGGAUCACUUCUUAGACAGCUACGACGCACUAUUACUUUCGCAUCUACUUCACAGCUAGAUGUACCUCUUGCAUCCCAGUAAGCCGGCCCCUCUCAUGUCCCUCCUAUAGAGCCGAUACCAAAGGCCGAUUCUUGAUCCCGUCAUGCCAGUUCAGAUUCUAGCUACAGAUCUGAUUUCAUUCAGCUGCAUACAGACUUCAUUUCUUUUAGAGCUGACAUUACCGGGUAUCACGAGGAUAUCACAAGGUGUUAUGAUGAUUUGGUGAGGAGGCACGAUAAUUUAGUUCGGCGAUCUGAUGACUUGAGGACAUACAUUUUCGAGGCGACGAGAGAUAUUGCGACAUUACGGAUGCUCCAAAUCAUUGCCGACAUGAUGGCUCCGGAUGCUGCUCCCUUAUUCUACCAUUUUCUAUCUCUAUUAUUAUCUGUUCUGAUACACUGAUAUUUUGCUACACUGUUAUUAUUGGGAUAUUUUUGCACUGAUUUGAUAUCUGCCCCCAAUUUUGGAUAUUUUAGAUAUUUUUGUCGUGCACUUCAUAUUCAUUGAUUUUUGGAUUAUGGUUUUAGAUUUACUUGAUAUAUAUAGAUUUUUGGAUUUUGAUAUCAGUUUUGGAUAUUCUGAGCUUUAUACUGCUAUAUGCUAUGAAUUUUGCCCAGUUCUCAGUUUCACCUCUCAUUUAUAUCAUUGAUAUAUAUGCUUUAACAGUUCUUAGUGUGACCAUUUUUCAGACAGGUUUUUGGAAUCCAAGUUUGGAGGUGCGCCUUUUUAUGCUAAGCUUCCGGUGCCGAGUCCUAUUUGCUACACCCAUUUGGUAUACUCUUUCCAUUAUCUGUUGCUUCUUUGCAUAUUAAGGAAAAUGCACAGAAUAAGUUUGGGGAUGUGUUAGCAUAUUUUACAUGUCGCACUUAGUUUUUAUGCAUGUGGUAUGACUUGAAAGUUUUGAGCCAUGAUUUUGAUCUUUUAAGAACUAUGAUACUUAGAAUUUAAAAAUUGCUUGACUUGAGAGUCUAAUACUCCUUGUAUGCUUUGUGGAUGCCAUUUAGGAGUAAUUUUUUCGAAAGAUUGAUAUCGUCCUUACAUUUAUAGUUCACAUCAUCCUGAUUUUGUGAUUGUUUUGAAAUUCACUCUAGGAUUCUACACUAGCACAUGCGCACACUAGCAUUCAUUUGUGGGGUACAUGCUUUGUUGAUUAUUGAUUUAGUUAUAUCCCAAUUGAGCUAGUAGUGCAUUGAAAGUUUUCAUUCUUGACAAAGGUGGAUAACAAACCCUUUUCACUAAGUGGCUUGGAUUCUAGUCUCAUCAAACACUGAAUUUCUUGUGCCAAAAGGUGGAGGACCCAAACUCUAGGUUAAAAAAAAAAAAGCAAAUUUGCAAAAGCAAAUAAAAGUGAGGACUUCUCCCAAAAGGUGAGAAGUGGGAAAUGAUUAGAUGGAGGUUGUUUUAAUUUUUAGCCUAGUUGAUUUGAGCUUGUAAGUUUUUAGGGGUGUUUCUACACCUAGUGCCCUAAAGCCGUCCGGUUUGGGAGUCAUUGACCUAACGCUCGACCUCAUGAAUCGCUAGAAUGCUUAAUAGAUCAACACAUUGAUUGCACCAUGCUUCCAUCUUUGAUCCAACAAAAAAAAUAAAAUAAAAUAAGUACACCUAGUUGAAUAAAGCUUUUAAUAAAAAGGUUCAUUCUUUGUCUUGAUGAUCGGUACUAGAUUAGUGUGCUAGCUUGAGGCCGCAUGUGAUCAUUUCUCUAGUUGGCUUAUAUAGCAAUAUAUUUGAUGCCGGUUCACUUAAAAAGGAUUUUAGAGUUGUUUUGAUUUUCAUGAUCAUUGUCUUGAUGUGUGAAGGACCAUACUUGCUUGCUUGGUGUUGAAAUUUUGGAGAGUUGCUUGGAAAUGGUUGAAAAAUUACAUAUUUGAGGUAGUUUUCUCCCAAUGCUUGUUUUAUAUGUUGGUGCCUCUUAACUGAGAAAGAGCUUAAUGUUUGUGGGUAUCAUUUCUGGAAACAUUCAUGAGACUUUAAUCAUCCACUAGAGGUAACCUAGGGGUUCAAAAGGCUUGUUGCAUACUCUAAAUGCAAUCGUGUUCCCUACGAAACUAGCGCUAUCCUUUCAUUGCUUUCUAGUUCAUAGUUACUUAGUUGUUUAUUUCUUUCUUUUCUUUGUAGUUUAUUGCUAAGGACUAGCAAUAUCUAAGUUUGGAGGUGUGAUAAGUGCUCAAAUGUGAUGCAUUUUAGCACCUAAGUUAGGGUAUUUUAGUCCAAUCAUCUAUCUUACUUUCAUGUUUUAGUUCUUAUUUGUGUUUUUGUCUAUUUCAGGUCAAUAAGGUUCAAAUAGGCUAAAAAGAGCCUUUUAGCUCAAUUUUGGAGCUAAGGAGAAGAUCCGGAAGAAGUCAGAAAAAUUGCACUGUUGAGGCUUCGAUUAAUCGAAGACAUCUGCAAUCGAUCAAGAUCAAAGCGGUGCCAGCUCAAUGGAUAGGGUUGCCAAGUGUUAAAAAUAUCUUGCCACGUUAGCUUUGAUCGAUCGAAGCAAGUGUUGGAUCGAUCAAAGUUACUGUUGGUAGUGUGCUGUCUAAUUCCCGAGCACACCCGAACUCUACCAACUUUUGUAAGUGUGAGUUUUCACCAAUCAAAAGCCUUAUUUCUGACUUGUUGCCUACUCAAAGAGCAUUGUAUUUAAAUUAAAUGAACCAAUUUGUAAAAAGUUCCUCUAGUUGAUAUUUUACCAAUUAUAGAAAUAGUUUCUCUUUAGAACUAGGGUUUUGGGAAGAACACCAAGGAGGAAGAAGAUCAAUUCCACCAUGAAGAUGGCCCUUGAUGGUUGGAUGCCACCUACUAUGAGUGGCUAAAUUCCUCACUUGGGGCUAGAAUUAGCCCCUAGGCUUGCUUCUUAAACCUAGUCUUUUGUAGAUUUUUGGGGAUUUUAGUUGUAAUUGAUGUUUUGACCAUGAAUAAAUAUAGAUCUUGUGUUUUUA